AGGGUUAAAGGAGGGGAUUCUCUCCCUCUACUCUGUGCUUGUGAGACCCCACCUGCAGCGCUGCAUCCAGCUGUUUUCUUUACCACAGGAAGGACAAUAACCUGUUGGAGCAAGUCCAGAGGAGGGCCACAAAGAGAAUCAGACAGCUGCAACACUUCUCCUGUGAAGACAGCCUGAGACCUAGGGUGGUAAAGUCUGCAGAAGAGAACAACUUGGGGAGAUCUCAAUUGCUGCAUCUCAGUACUUAAAAGAGCGAGAGUGACUUUUUUCACUGACAGAUAGUGGUUUGGCUUUAUAAAAAUGGUUGGCUAUCCAAUUACAUCUGUCCCAGCAACGCAAGAUAACAUACAUGCUGAAAAGCUUUAUCAUCCUAAUGACCCACACUUCAAUUAUCUUUCAAUACCAACACUGGGAUCAAGAAAGAUCCUAAAGGAAUGGAUUCAUCAAAACUGCUCUCUGGAUCAAGUUUAAAUUUCAAGACUCAUCUUGAAAGCCUUCACAUCAAACCCAUGUGAUCAUUUUGAAUUCCAGUAUUAUCUUAUAAAAAGCUGUUUCGAAUUA